UGGAAAACCGCAUUUAGUACCACAUCGGGCCAUUAUGAGUACCUCGUCAUGCCGUAUGGGUUAAAGAACGCUCCCGCUGUCUUCCAAUCCUUUGUGGACGAGGUCCUUCGGGACAUGCUCGGGCAGGGUGUGGUGGUGUACAUCGAUGACAUCCUGAUUUGCUCCACCACACGCGCCGAGCAUGUGUCCCUCGUGCGUAAAGUGCUUGGGCGGCUGCUGGAGCAUAACCUAUACGUCAAGGCUGAGAAAUGCGAGUUCUUCAAAUGAGCCGUCUCAUUUCUAGGAUAUCGCAUUUCCACCUCGGGGGUAGAGGUGGAGUGUGACCGCGUGACGGCUGUGCGUAAUUGGCCAACCCCAACCACUGUGAAGGAGGUGCAGCGGUUCUUGGGGUUCGCUAAUUAUUAUCGGAGGUUUAUCCGGGGUUUUGGCCAGGUGGCGGCUCCCAUUACCUCACUGAUGAAGGGGGGCCGGUGCGGCUACGAUGGUCAGCAGAGGCGGACAGAGCCUUCCAUCGUCUGAAGGUUCUGUUUACCAACGCACCCGUCCUGGCGCAUCUGGACCCCUCCUUGCCAUUCAUAGUGGAGGUGGACGCGUCCGAGGCUGGGGUAGGAGCUGUGCUAUCGCAGCGCUCGGGCGUUCCUCCGAAGCUCCGCCCAUGUGCCUUCUUUUCUAAGAAGCUGAGCCCGGCGGAGCGCAACUAUGAUGUGGGGCACCGGGAGCUGUUAGUCGUGGUCAGGGCUUUGACGGUGUGGAGACAUUGACUUGAGGGGGCACGUCACCCUUUUCUCAUCUGGACCGACCACCGUAACCUGGAGUAUAUUCGGGCAGCGAGGAGGCUUAAUCCCCGUCAGGCAAGGCCGGUGGUAGCUGGUCCACUGCAGGACGAUGAGGUGCUGGAGGUCCCCUCGCCCCCCCUGGACAUCGGGGGUCCCCGGCGUACACAGUCCGAGCCAUCCUGGACUCCCGACGUCGGGUCGGGGGCCUGCAGUACCUCGUGGACUGGGAGGGGUACGGUCCGGAGGAGAGGUGCUGGGUUCCGGCGGCGGACAUUCUAGAUCCACCUAUGCUACAAGAAUUCCACCGUCGCCGUCCGGAUCGGCCGGCGCCUCGCCCUCCGGGCCGUCCCCGAGGCCGGCGUCGGCGCGCGAGGGGAGGGGUACUGUCACAGUAUCUAACGAAGGUGGCGCCCCUCCUCGGUCGGGCGGCGCUCAGCGGUCGUCGUCGCUGACCUAUUAGCUGCCACCGAUCGUUGUUUCUGUGUCUUUUGGUUUUGUCUGUCUAUCUCGCACCUGUUUUGUGUUUGUCAUUAGUGGGGGGUUAUUUAGUGUGUAUUUUCAGUUGGGGUUCUCGUGCGGGACUGUUUAUUGUCCACUCAGGACAGUUGUGAUUGUAAACUGUUAUUGUCUAUUAUAUUGCCGGGCUGCGCCCCGUGCGCUUUUUUUUCCAGUGCGCUUAUUUUGGGAAGGUGUUUUCCCCUGGCAGACUUCGCCACGCGCCUGGUGCCCUACGGCUAUUGCGUGUUACUAUUAUUAUUAAAACAUAGUUGCUCCGGC
rnacentral:lncRNA from 1 species